rnacentral:snoRNA from 1 species
AUAGGCGGGAUGAGGUCAAGGUGAGCGUGACGGUGCGCCGAUCAACGGCACUGCUGGGGCGCACCGGUACAGUGCAAGAAGGUGGGCCCCAGAUGGUCGAUGGGGUGAUGUGGUUCCGACCGGCGGC